CCUACGGGAGGCAGCAGUAGGGAAUCUUCCACAAUGGGCGAAAGCCUGAUGGAGCAACGCCGCGUGGGUGAAGAAGGUCUUCGGAUCGUAAAACCCUGUUGUUAGAGAAGAAUGUGCGUGUGAGUAACUGUUCACGUUUCGACGAUAUCUAACCAGAAAGCCACGGCUACCUACGUGCCAGGAGCCGCGGUAAUGCGUAGGUGGCAAGCGUUAUCCGGAUUUAUUGGGAGUAAAGGGAACGGAGGCGGUCAUUUAAUGCCGAUGUAAAAGCCGUCGGCUUAACUGGAGUAGUGCAUUGGAAACUGGGAGACGUGAGAGCAGAAGAGGAGAGUGGAACUCCAAGUGUAGCGGUGAAAUGCGUAGAUAUAUGGAAGAACACCAGUGGCGAAGGCGGCUCUCUGGUCUGUAACUGACGCUGAGGUUCGAAAGCGUGGGUAGCAAACAGGAUUAGAUACCCGGGUAGUC
rnacentral:rRNA from 1 species